UGGCCCAGGACAGGCGGCUCUGAGCCCUGCCAAGAGAGGGGGCACCGGGUCCUGUGCCCCUGCUAAUGGUGGUGGCAUCUCUGCUGCUCUCCAGGCCUCCCAGGAAGCUCUCCGCAGCGCUGGCCACUUCCUGAACUGGAGGAGGCUGGCACAGCUGGCUGGGACUCAGCAGGCAUGGAGCAUCCGCGAGCGCUUGCUGUCCAAGAACAGGAGCAGGGCCAAGGACUACCUGCACCAGAGCCAGAGCUACCUGCGGAACCCUCAGGAGGCCCUGCGGCUGGAGGCUGUGAGGUUCAUUGGCCUCAUCGGAAGACUGAUGGAUGAACGG